rnacentral:rRNA from 1 species
CCCAGACUCCUACGGGAGGCAGCAGUGGGGGAUAUUGCACAAUGGGGGAAACCCUGAUGCAGCGACGCCGCGUGGGUGAAGAAGCGCCUCGGCGCGUAAAGCCCUGUCAGCAGGGAAGAAAAUGACGGUACCUGAAGAAGAAGCCCCGGCUAACUACGUGCCAGCAGCCGCGGUAAUACGUAGGGGGCAAGCGUUAUCCGGAUUUACUGGGUGUAAAGGGGGCGCAGACGGCGAUGCAAGCCAGGAGUGAAAGCCCGGGGCCCAACCCCGGGACUGCUCUUGGAACUGCGUGGCUGGAGUGCAGGAGGGGCAGGCGGAAUUCCUGGUGUAGCGGUGAAGUGCGUAGAUAUCAGGAGGAACACCGGUGGCGAAGGCGGCCUGCUGGACUGCAACUGACGUUGAGGCCCGAAAGCGUGGGGAGCAAACAGGAUUAGAUACCCUCGUAAA